UUGCUGGUGGAUUAGUGGCGAACGGGUGAGUAACACGUGAGUAACCUGCCCUUAACUCUGGGAUAAGCCUGGGAAACUGGGUCUAAUACCGGAUAUGACUCCUCAUCGCAUGGUGGGGGGUGGAAAGCUUUAUUGUGGUUUUGGAUGGACUCGCGGCCUAUCAGCUUGUUGGUGAGGUAAUGGCUCACCAAGGCGACGACGGGUAGCCGGCCUGAGAGGGUGACCGGCCACACUGGGACUGAGACACGGCCCAGACUCCUACGGGAGGCAGCAGUGGGGAAUAUUGCACAAUGGGCGAAAGCCUGAUGCAGCGACGCCGCGUGAGGGAUGACGGCCUUCGGGUUGUAAACCUCUUUCAGUAGGGAAGAAGCGAAAGUGACGGUACCUGCAGAAGAAGCGCCGGCUAACUACGUGCCAGCAGCCGCGGUAAUACGUAGGGCGCAAGCGUUAUCCGGAAUUAUUGGGCGUAAAGAGCUCGUAGGCGGUUUGUCGCGUCUGCCGUGAAAGUCCGGGGCUCAACUCCGGAUCUGCGGUGGGUACGGGCAGACUAGAGUGAUGUAGGGGAGACUGGAAUUCCUGGUGUAGCGGUGAAAUGCGCAGAUAUCAGGAGGAACACCGAUGGCGAAGGCAGGUCUCUGGGCAUUAACUGACGCUGAGGAGCGAAAGCAUGGGGAGCGAACAGGAUUAGAUACCCUGGUAGUCCAUGCCGUAAACGUUGGGCACUAGGUGUGGGGGACAUUCCACGUUUUCCGCGCCGUAGCUAACGCAUUAAGUGCCCCGCCUGGGGAGUACGGCCGCAAGGCUAAAACUCAAAGGAAUUGACGGGGGCCUGCGGAUUAAUUCGAUGCAACGCGAAGAACCUUACCAAGGCUUGACAUGAACCGGAAAUACCUGGAAACAGGUGCCCCGCUUGCGGUCGGUUUACAGGUGGUGCAUGGUUGUCGUCAGCUCGUGUCGUGAGAUGUUGGGUUAAGUCCCGCAACGAGCGCAACCCUCGUUCUAUGUUGCCAGCGCGUUAUGGCGGGGACUCAUAGGAGACUGCCGGGGUCAACUCGGAGGAAGGUGGGGACGACGUCAAAUCAUCAUGCCCCUUAUGUCUUGGGCUUCACGCAUGCUACAAUGGCCGGUACAAAGGGUUGCGAUACUGUGAGGUGGAGCUAAUCCCAAAAAGCCGGUCUCAGUUCGGAUUGGGGUCUGCAACUCGACCCCAUGAAGUCGGAGUCGCUAGUAAUCGCAGAUCAGCAACGCUGCGGUGAAUACGUUCCCGGGCCUUGUACACACCGCCCGUCAAGUCACGAAAGUUGGUAA
rnacentral:rRNA from 1 species